rnacentral:rRNA from 1 species
UUUCCCUACGGGAGGCAGCAGUGGGGAAUAUUGCACAAUGGGGGAAACCCUGAUGAAGCGACGCCGAGUGAGCGAAGAAGUAUUUCGGUAUGUAAAGCUCUAUCAGCAGGGAAGAAAAAAAUGACGGUACGUGACUAAGAAGCCCCGGCUAACUACGUGCCAGCAGCCGCGGUAAUACGUAGGGGGCAAGCGUUAUCCGGAUUUACUGGGUGUAAAGGGAGCGUAGAGGGCAGAGCAAGUCUGAAGUGAAAGCCCGCGGCCCAACUGC